rnacentral:rRNA from 1 species
UACAGAGGGGGGCAAGCGUUGUUCGGAAUUACUGGGCGUAAAGGGCGCGUAGGCGGCCUUCUAAGUCGAACGUGAAAUCCCCGGGCUCAACCCGGGAACUGCGUCCGAUACUGGAAGGCUUGAAUCCGGGAGAGGGAUGCGGAAUUCCAGGUGUAGCGGUGAAAUGCGUAGAUAUCUGGAGGAACACCGGUGGCGAAGGCGGCAUCCUGGACCAACACUGACGCUGAGGAGCGAAAGCGUGGGGAGCGAACAGG